rnacentral:rRNA from 1 species
AGUGAACGCUGGCGGUAGGCCUAACACAUGCAAGUCGAACGGCAGCACAGUAAGAGCUUGCUCUUACGGGUGGCGAGUGGCGGACGGGUGAGGAAUACAUCGGAAUCUACUUUUUCGUGGGGGAUAACGUAGGGAAACUUACGCUAAUACCGCAUACGACCUACGGGUGAAAGCAGGGGAUCUUCGGACCUUGCGCGAUUGAAUGAGCCGAUGUCGGAUUAGCUAGUUGGCGGGGUAAAGGCCCACCAAGGCGACGAUCCGUAGCUGGUCUGAGAGGAUGAUCAGCCACACUGGAACUGGGACACGGUCCAGACUCCUACGGGAGGCAGCAGUGGGGAAUAUUGGACAAUGGGCGCAAGCCUGAUCCAGCCAUACCGCGUGGGUGAAGAAGGCCUUCGGGUUGUAAAACCCUUUUGUUGGGAAAGAAAAGCAGCAGGUUAAUACCCCGCUGUUCUGACGGUACCCAAAGAAUAAGCACCGGCUAACUUCGUG